GUUAUUACAACUACUUCUUGAUUAGUUCUUGAUUAGUUAAGGGAUCAAGAAGGGUUUCUUGAUUUUUCGUGAAUCAAAAAAGAAAGAUCAAAUAAGGGUUGGUUCAUUCAAGAAUUAAGAAAAAGAGAUCAAGAGUUGAUCCCUAUCUAGGUUUGGUUCGAGUCUAUUCAGACUUUGAGUUUAAGUGAGUUGUUUCAAGAGGAGCCAAUCCAGAUCAAUCCUGUGGAUAUCCAUAGAGGUAGGAUACUUAUACUGCUAAUUCAGAAUCUACUUAACCCC
rnacentral:lncRNA from 1 species